rfam:Myotis davidii contig321142, whole genome shotgun sequence.
AGUGGUUCUUGGGUGACCCACACCGGAAUCGGGCUCACUGCUCUCUGGUUCCGGGUGCGUCACCGAGAAUGACA